rnacentral:misc_RNA from 1 species
AGACAGAAAUUUAAUUCAGAUGCUUGUUGCUCGUUGAAUGCUCUCAAGUUUUACUCAGUAUUUUGAUUUUGAAGCAUUUUAUUCAUUUCACUUCUCUUAAUUCUCAGACAAAGUAUCAUAACAAUAUUCUCUGUGAGGUUGAGUUUAUUAUUAGACAUAGAUUACAUAACAAAGAUUAUCAGUUGGAAGGAGAUCUUCAUUUUACAUUCUUCUCAAUCGGCUUGCGUCCUCAAUUCCUAGAGAUUGGCUCAAUUAUUAGCAAUGAUGCGAUGUCGAUAGAUUGAUUGAAAAAUUGAUUGAUUGAAUCAUGAACAAGGCCAAACAAAUUGAAGUGACAGUGAAAAAGCUGAAACAGAUGCUAAUUGUGUGCACUGGUGGAUUCACUGCAUUCUCAGCCGUCAGUAUUUACAAAGGAAAUGAGAAAUAUUACGAGAAUGUUCUGCUGCCGUUAGUACAUAAAUUAGACCCAGAACUUUCUCAUAAGUUGGCAGUAUUUGUUUCAAAAUACCAACUGUUGCCACAAAGUAAAUACAAGGAUCCAGCCGAGUUGCAGGCUUCGAUAAGCACGCCGAGGCAGUAGUCGGACUAGCGCAGGUCGGAUUCGGAUUUGUCGAGAUCGGAUCCGUCACACCUCUGUCGCAGCCCGGUAAUCCGAAGCCGCGCGUCUUUCGACUCUCCGACAACCAUGCUAUUAUUAAUAGGUACGGCUUCAAUAGUGAAGGCUUCGAUGUAGUUUACGAUAGAUUACAAACGUUGCGGUCGAAUAAUUACAAAGGAAUUAUCGGUGUCAAUUUGGGGAAAAAUAAGACUUCUCCUGCGCCGAUUGAGGACUACGUCAAAGGAGUGCAGAAGUUUGGACAUUUAGCUGACUAUCUUGUCAUCAAUAUUUCAAGCCCCAACACCCCCGGCCUAAGAGACUGGCAAGAAAAGGAACAGCUGAGAGCGCUUUUGUCAGAACUAGUGAAAGCCAGAGACAGUUUGGGAAUCGAACCCCGACCGCUGCUCCUAUUAAAACUGGCGCCAGAUCUGUCUUCGCAAGAAGUCACAGAUAUUGUUCAAGUGCUCCAAGACAAAAAGUGUCGUGUUGAUGGCCUGGUGAUAAGCAAUACAACGAUUGCGAGAGAUGACAGCCUGAUAGGUCCCCAUGUCCAUGAAGUGGGCGGUCUUAGCGGUCGACCAUUGACGCAGCGAUCAACUGAAAUGAUUUCGCAAGUUUAUAAACUCACCAAAGGGCAAAUACCAAUAAUUGGCGUAGGAGGAGUAUUCACAGGCCAAGACGCCUAUGAUAAGAUAAAAGCUGGUGCCAGCCUAAUACAGUUGUAUACCUCUUUCGUUUACCAUGGUCCACCCCGUAUAGAGAGGAUUAAGAAGGAGCUGCAUGAAUUACUACAGUCUGAUGGUUACCGAUCUAUACAGGAAGCAGUUGGGAAAGGAAUUUCGUGAUGAAUAUUUUUGAAAGAAAUGAAUAUUUGCUUCAAAUCUCGGUCAGCUGGUUCUUUUCCCUUUUAAUUUUAAAGAGUGUUCAGUGUCCAUACUAGAAAAUAAGUAUUAGUACAUUAAUGUUGAUUGUAAAAUAAAAAUAGAAAUUUAUUUUA